rnacentral:rRNA from 1 species
UACCAGCACCCCGAGUGGUCGGGACGAUUAUUGGGCCUAAAGCAUCCGUAGCCGGUUCUACAAGUCUUCCGUUAAAUCCACCUGCUUAACAGAUGGGCUGCGGAGGAUACUAUAGAGCUAGGAGGCGGGAGAGGCAAGCGGUACUUAGUGGGUAGGGGUAAAAUCCGUUGAUCCAUUGAAGACCACCAGUGGCGAAGGCG